rnacentral:tRNA from 1 species
CGGCGUGUGGCUCAGCUUGGUAGAGCGCUACGUUCGGGACGUAGAGGCCGCAGGUUCGAAUCCUGUCACGCCGAC